CAGAGAAAGGAUAUGGUUCAUUUGUACUUGAAAAAGGUCACUCUGCUGCUAUGUGGGCAAUGGAUUGGACAGAGACAAGAUUAGAGGCUGUUGCCAGAGUCCAGAUGAGAGAUAAGGGUGACCUGGAUCAGGCUGGUGGCGCCAAAGAAAGAGUGCACAGAAUCAAGGAAUAUUGAGGAGGUGGAAUCUACAGACCUGGUGACGACUGGAUGGAAUGGGGAUGCCCUGUUGAGGCUACAAGUGCAACCACCAC